GAUGAACGCUGGCGGCGUGCCUAAUACAUGCAAGUCGAGCGAAGAGUGGACGGGGGAGUGACACGUGUAUAACCUCCCCUAAGACUGGGAUAACUUCGUGAAAACAGAGCUAAACCCGCUACUUAUCGAUUGACCCGCGCUGCAUUAGCUAGUUGGUAAGGUAACGGCUUACAAAGGCAACGAUGCAUAGCCGACCUGAGAGGGUGAUCGGCCACACUGGAACUGAGACACGGUCCAGACUCCUACGGGAGGCAGCAGUAGGGAAUCUUCGGCAAUGGGCGAAAGCCUGACGGAGCAACGCCGCGUGAGUGAUGAAGGUCUUCGGAUCGUAAAACUCUGUUAUUAGGGAAGCGGUACCUAAUCAGAAAGCCACGGCUAACUACGUGCCAGCAGCCGCGGUAAUAC
rnacentral:rRNA from 1 species